CGCUACUGGCAUCUAGUGGGUAGAGGCCACGGAUGUUGUUAAACAUCCUACAAUGCCCAGGACAGGCCCCCACAAGAAAGAAUGAUCCAGGCUAAAACAUCAACACUGCCAAGUCUGAGAAGGCCUGAUCUAGACAGAUGUACUCAGACAAACCCACGCAAUGUCGGUCCCCAGCUAAAAACUCCUGGUCUCCAACCUCUCAGUUUAUGGAAGAGGAAAGAACAGAAGGCAGGGUGGAUAAAUGGCUUGUUUCGGGGCACCCAGCAAGAUGCCCUUGCAACCUGUGCCGUGAGCGCUGGGCCCGCACACAGCAGGAGCUCUGCAGAGAAGAAAACCAAGAGAGGACUGGGUUCCGGUCUUCAGCUCCCCUCAAGGUUGUCCUGGACAGGAUCCUCAUCAAUGUCCUCUUGAUCUUUGUUGGACCCCAGCCUCUCCGACAGCCCCUUCUUGACUGCAGUGAGGAGGCCUGAGCCAGGCCAUGAUGGGGCAUCUGCAGCUCUCUGCUGUCCUCUAGCGGACGCUGACUGCGCCAUCCUGAGGGGACCCCUGGCGUGCCCGGAGAGGCCAUGUCAUCCUUCAGAUUCCAAAGGCCAUUUGCCACGUGUGAUUACCUUGAACCCCAAUACAUUUCUGCAAACGUCCUUAUUCCACGGUCGAAGCCAAACUUUAUCACCCGCACCCCCAGCGUGGGGACAAGCUGGCCGUUUCCUCGAACCUGUGUCCUCCUCUCCGGGCCACAGUCUGGUGUGCAAACCGAGGAACAGCAGAGGCCGCGUCUGCUUGGCUCACAGCUCUGUCUCGGGGCCCAUUAGGGGCCGGGCGCAGCGCUGAGGCCCAGUGUCUGUGCGGAACGGGGUGCGCACCCCAGGCAACCGUGUGGCCUCGCUGCUCCCUGCGCCUCCUUCCUCCUAUUGAGAGCCCCCCGCAGAGGGUCGGGGCAUCCACUGGGGCAUCACGGGGAGGGGGGGGGCGCGGGAUCUGCGCUGAUGAGCGCCAACGGACUCUGGGAAGAGGCAUAUUUAAAGGGAAGGAUGGGGGAUCCCUGGGUGGCGCAGCAGUUUAGCGCCUGCCUUUGGCCCAGGGCGCGAUCCUGGAGACCCGGGAUCGAG